CUUCCUGUUGUAGCUUAUACACUCCAUCUAAUUUAAUAUUCAUUAAAUCUGUGUGUAGCGGUAAUAUUUGAACCGUAACAUACACUCGUUUUCAUCAAGCACCUUCUCAGUACUUAAUUCUAAGUUAAUCUGUUAUCUCAGUCCGCUAGCCUAGCACUUAGCUGUUAGCAUGGCUUCUCCCUCUUCCUCUCUGUCUUAUCUCUGUCCGCUAGCCUAGCACUUAGCUGUUAGCAUGGCUUCUCCCUCUUCUUCUUUCCUGCUCAGUGUGUCACAUGGUUAGUUACUCCUCUGCCUCCUUUAGUGAUAACGAUACCUGUAAUAAAUGCAGUCUCUUUGUAGCUUUGGAGGCGAGGCUCUCUGAAUUGGAAGCGCGGCUCCGCACCAUGGAAAACACCCCGCUAGCUGUUAGCCAGGCCCCCUUAGCCGGUGCGGACCGCAAUAGCAUAGCUGCUAGUGUAGCUUCUGCUAGCCGUCCCCUAGCAGCUCCCGAGCAGCGGGGAAGUCAGGGUAGCUGGGUGACAGUUCGUAAGAAACGUAGUCCUAAACUCAAGCCCGCUGCCCCGACCACAAACCGCUUCACGUUUCUAAUCGUUUUUCCUCACUCAACGACACACCCGCUGAGAAACCAACUCUGAUCAUUGGCAGCGCCACAGUCAGAAACGUGAAGCUAGCGACACCAGCGACCAUAGUAAAAUGCCUCCCAGGGGCCAGAGCGGGCGACAUAGAAGCAAAUUUGAAACUGCUGGCUAAAGAUAAUCGUAAAUACAGUCAGACUGUUAUUCAUGUCGGCGGUAAUGACACCCGGUUACGCCAAUCGGAGGUCACCAAAGUUAGUGUGGUAUCGGUGUGUAACUUUGCCAAAACCAUGUCGGACUCCGUAGUUUUCUCUGGACCCCUGCCUGAUCUGACCAGCCAUGAUAUGUUUAGCCGUAUGUCAUCGUUUCGCCGCUGGAUGUCUACGUGGUGUACUGCAAACGACGUUGGCUUUAUAGACAAUUGGAGCUCUUUCUGGGGAAAACCUGGUCUGAUUAGGAGAGACGGCAUCCAUCCCACUUUGGCUGGUGCAACUCUCAUUUCUAGAAAUAUGGCUGAUUUUAUUAGAACUCCUAAAGCAUGACAACCCAGAGUUCAGACCAGGACCUCUUCUGUCCCUCUCAACCCGCCCGGCCAGCAGGCAGAUGGGUCCCCCCACAUUAGAGCCAGGUUCUGCUCGAGGUUUUUUCCUUGUUAAAAGGGUGUUUUACUUGCCACUGUCGCCUUUUGGCUUGCUCUGGGGGUCAGGCAUAUGGGUUCUGUAAAGCGUCUCGAGACAAUGUGACUGUAAUUGGCGCUAUAUAAAUAAAAUUGAAUUGAAAUUGAAUUGAAAGCAACAAAAAGUGCAAAAUAACCAAACAAGUUUGAAUGUCAGGCUCAAGAACAACUACUGCUGUUUAUCGUGUAAUGUGACUGCGGUAUUUUGCAUAUUAGAGAUUACAAUCUGACAAAAACACUGUAAAAUACAACUUUCCCUGACUAUAAUACAUAUUAAGGCUGCGACCACUGUUCCCUCUAAGCUGCGCGCGUGCGCAGUUGCGCACUGCUGACACGGUCUCCGCGCACAGAAAAUCUGCGCUGUGCACAAAAAAAAUAAAAUCCAACCUAAAUUGUAAAUAAAAUAAACACGUAACAAUUCAUUCUGUGCUAUUUUUCAAUGUGAGUCAGUGAGUGACCGGUGACUGGCUGCUGCAGCCAAUGAUGCGAUUCACAUACGUAUUUACCAUAGACUGUAUAUAAUGGUAUUUACGCAGCUAACACAAUUUGACUGUAAUUGGCGCUAUAUAAAUAAAAUUGAAUUGAAAAAAAAAUUGAAUUCCACACAGAGGAGCUGCUGCAGUAAUGUACAGUAUCAGAAAAAGAACGUGUUUUUGGAACAUUAAAGGAUGUAAACAUAUUCUCGUAGACCCCCAAAAUAAAACUAUAAACCUGCGAUUGUGCAGAAUCUGGGCUCUUUAAAUAAUCCUGUUCAGCUUCAUGGCAUCGCAGCAGGCAGGAACUAAGCAGCUACUCUGACAAAAAUACAACAGAAGGAGACAAGAAAAGCAUCAACACUGCCACAAAUAAGCUUCCUCUUCAAAGUGUCUUGGUCUGGCUGUCCUGGUCUCUCAGAUUAUGUCAUAUGUGGCUGCACUUGUUGUGCCAACACUUUGCUUUUGCACAUUUCAUGCAGUAGGCGUCUGCACUGUUUACUAUGAAUUAACUGGAGCAUGUAUAUGCAUGAUAUUUAGAACUAGUGUAGGAGCAAAGGACUCUGAAAAUUCAACCUAAUGAUGUCAGACAUUUAAUCUGUUAAUUAUUUUGUACCAUGUAUGUGCUGUGAGGUGAACUGCUUUGCAGACACAUUUCUUAGACUGUGCUGCACAUUUUCUCGACCAUGAACAAAUAUUGAAAUUUUUUAUUUAUUUUUUUUUAAAGUUUUUGCACCUUUUAAUUUAUUUCUGACAACUCUUUUGGUCAUUCUGUGUCUGUUUGUGGUAAUUUUGCCUUUCAUUGUGGUCCUUUGCUUCCAUGUUGCAGCUUUUUGUGUUUUUAUGUCGUUACUGCAUCACUUUGUGGUCCUGUUGUGCCCUAUUUUGUCAUUUUGGGAUCAUUUUGCAUCUGUUUGUGGUCUUUUGAUUGACUUUAUAGACAAUCGGGGCCCACCAGGAUUAAAUUUAGUGUUUGCAUGGCGCCUGUGUGAAAAUGGUGGGUGUGUAGAGUGGGUCACUGUCCCCGACCCUGCAGGACAGAGCAGGACUGAGCUGUUCUGACCCCAGUCGGGCCCUCGCCGACAUCCAGGGAACAGAAUACGGAGGUCAGAAUUUUCCACAGCAGCGAGGAUGGUUAUAUCAUCAUACGCUCUGCUGCCGCUCCGUCGAGGCCUUGCAGGGCUGCCGGAGGUUCACAGCCAAGUAGAAAGUAUCAGAAGUUUGAGGUUUGCUCUGUUGACAAUUCCAAAGAUUUGAAUAAUGUGGUUUUGAUUGGAGGAAAACAUCUAGUGACAAGCACUGUGGUGCUGUCAGCUGAAAAGCAAGCUCCUUGUCACCGGCACACCCACACCUCUCACACUAACAAGGUUUUCAGACUGAAAAUUACAGAGUGACAAUCAAAUCCUUUCAUCAUCAUGUUUCCAUUCUGAAUAUAUUUACUUUAAAAGCGGGUAGAGAACUAGUGAUGGCGUCAUUAAGCACUCAAUGAAGUUCACUAAUUAUCCCCACAGACGGAUGCUUGGGGCCGGCCUUGGUCUCCACGACGAACUGCUGCAAACCGGAGCAUCUCACUUCCAGAAGUGAUGGCUCUUAACCUUCCAAACAGCGGUGGCUUGAAAUUAAACUGCCCUACACAAACACAAAUACAUCCUGGCAAACACAACACAGACAUCUGUCCUUCCACCCACUUGGCCUCCACCUCCAACAGAAACAGAGACCCGGCAUUACUGAACAAGUGCUGAGUGCUGCUCUCAUUUGCAUAAUUUAAUAGAUUUUUUUUCCGAAAAAUGAGUCACAAAACUAAUCACUAAUAUCCACACACUAUGCCAGUGUUUUAUCAGCAGUCAUCAUUCUAAACCAGACCGGCAGAGGCACAGCACUGCUGUGCUCUUCUGAGUGAUAAAUGACUGUUAAUAUUUAUUUAUAGAAAGUCAAUCAAAAGACCACAAACAGAUGCAAAAUGAUCGUAAAGACACACAAAAAAUGACCAAGGGACAAAAUGUGGCCACAAAGAGGACUAAAAACUUUCACAACAGCAUGCGAAACAGCCACAAAGACAAGAAAAAUGACCACAAACAGACACAAAAUGAUAAACAGAGGAUGGAAAAUGACCAAAAGACACAAAAAUUACCACAAAACACACACCUAAAGACCAUAGCAAGAUGCAAAAUGAUUACACAGAGGAUUAGAAUUAAUACACAAGCGUGCAAAACAGCCACAGAGGCAAGCAAAUGACUACAAAUAGACACAAAAUGACCAGUAGAAGACACAAAAUACCCAGAAAGAGAUGAAAAAUGAUCACAAACUAAAAAUAGUACCAGAACAAGCAAAACCACCAUAGUGACGCACAAAAUGACAAAAAAGACACACAACAGAACAAAAAAUGCACAGUGACAAUAAAAAGGCACCAAAUGACAACAAGGAGAAUUAUAAUUAACACAACCUCAUGCAAAAACAGUUGGAAAAAUAAGCAAAUGACCACAAUGAAACAACAAAAUGACCAGCAACAGGCACAAAAUGACCAAGAGAUGACACAGAUGACCACAAAGAGAUGCAAUAUGAUCAUAGGGGCACAUAAAAAUGACCACAAAAUGAAAGAAAAAGACAACACAAAGAGGACUAAAAUGAUCAAAACAGCAUGCAAGACAGCUACCAAAAUAAACAAAAUCGUCUAAAGAGGAUGCAGAAGGACCUUAAAGUAAAGCACAUAAGGACACAUAAAAAUGACCACAUCAUGCAAAAUAGCCACAAAAAGACACUGAUCUGAUGUUCUCUUAAAUCUGUCUGCUUUGUUUUCAAGUAAAAUGCACAGAUUGUUCAUAUUUUCUUCACUUUUAUUUCUCAUAAACCUACAGAAGCUAUAAACUUCAUCCACAAAGACAUCUUCAACUGAUGGCAAACACUAAGAAUGGACAUAUUUUUUACUUUCCUUUUUGAAUAAACAUGGAAACAGGAGAAGUGUGUUAGUCUCAGUAACUUUUUGAGGAGAGAAGGAUACAACAUGAAACUUAAACCCAAUGAAGGAAGUUAAGGUGCUCAGAUCUGUCAGAGCUUCAGAAGUCUGUCUCUCUUAUUAGAGCUUUUGAGUGCAGACAGCAGCAGUGUGUCAAAUCCUGUUUCCCCAACAUCUCACAGAGACAAACAAACCAAUAACAGCAAAGUUUCAGUUUGGAAUUUCAUCAAGUUAACUAACUCUGCAACUAAGUGAUUAGUUAAAAACCAGGUACCAUGCCAGUCCAACAAGAUUUUCUCUUCGUUUCAGCUCUAACAUUCACUGUGUAAUAGGUCAAAAACAUGUGAAGAAGCAUUAACACAUGAGAGUUGGACACAUAAAUUUGUAAAACCACUGACAAGACAGUUUAAACUCUGGAUCAGAUGUGCUACAUAAUGUAUAUCAGAAAUUGCAGCAUUUGCAAUUUACUAGGCUCUAAGUCAUCCAUUAAAUUUCACUGGAAUAUGCAAGGAAAUGUUUUACUGAAGAGCCCUACAGAGGUCGCACCAGUUAGCUCCAUUUGUUGCCUUCUCACACAUUUUUAAACUUAAUUUGAGGUAUUUAUUUAUAUGCAAUUAGAAGAAACUUGCAGCUCUACACAAAAUGACCACGGAAAGAUACAAAACUACUACAAAGAUGCACAAAACAGGUGCAAAAAUAGAACUGACAACAAGGUGACACAAAACAGCCUCCACAGCCUGCAUUUUAAACUGUCUAAACUCACUUUAAUACAAAAAGACACAAAAGGAUGACAAAAAGAGUUAUAAUUAACACAACAGCAUGCAAAAACAGUUAAAAAGAUGAAGAAAUGAUCACAAAGAAAGGUUAUCUGUUUUUUGUCAGAAGAAGCUCAGUGUCAUCUGAAGCUGUCCGUGGUCCUGAAACUAAACCUGCAGUUGCUUAUUUAUUAAUCAAAUCAUUACAUUUCUCUCAAUAAUAUUGUAAAGUCUUGAUCUUAACAUUUAAAGGUCACUGAAGUCAUCAUUUGUACUUAUUUCUUCUUUUAGUGCUAUAAAUUUGUAAUGUUAGUAUUUUAGUUGGAUUGGAAAGCACUUCUGUUGUUCUAAACUGUGUACAUAAAAGUGACCUGACUGAAUGUAUUUUUCUUUCUUUUCCAGCUGAUCCUAAACUACUAAUUUGUCAUUUUAUGUUAUUUUUUUCUGUGUUGCUGCGUGUUUCCAUGUUGUGUGACAGCAGAAAUCCAUCAAAACCACAAGACGAACUGGGAAGCCUUAAAUUCAUAAUAAAAAGCAGAUGCUGCAAACUUGUCUGAGAGGAAACAGGCAGAAAAGACGAAAAAUAGAUGAUGCUGCUGAGUUGCAUCAUGAUAAGCAUAGGAUGCAAAAUAACAUUUCUGUUUGAAAAUGAGCAGAUUUUUUGUUAGGCAACAGAAAUCAGCUCACUUUCUGACAGAAACACUUCAAAAGGUUCCAGUUGGAGUGAAGCCUCAAAAUAAAAGCACUCCAGUGAUGACGAAGCCAUGUUUCUAACGGAUAGUGAGCUGAAUGCCUUCCUUUGGAGCUUUUCAGGGGUUAUUCAAGACCCCAUGUAAGUGGAUGGAUGGAUGGAUGGAUGGAUAGAUGGAUGGAUGGAUGGAUGGAUGGAUGGAUGGACGAAUGGAUGGAUGGAUGAUGGAUGGAUGGAUAGAUGAAUGGAUGGAUGAUGGAUGGACGGACAGAUGGGAUGGAUGAAUGGAUGGAUGGAUGGAUGAUGGAUGGAUGGAUAGAUGGAUGGAUGAUGGAUGGACGGACGGACGGAUGGGAUGGGAUGGAUGAAUGGAUGAAUGGAUGAUAGAUGAAUGGAUGGAUGGAUGGAUGGAUGGACGGACGGGAUGGGAUGGAUGAAUGGAUGAAUGGAUGAUAGAUGAAUGGAUGGAUGGAUGGAUGGAUAGAUGAAUGGAUGGAUGGAAUGGACGAAUGGACGAAUGGACGGAUGGAAUGGACAAAUGGAUGGAUGGAUGGAUGGAUGGAUGGAUGAUGGAUGAAUGAAUGGAUGGAAUGGAUGGAUGGAUGGAUGGAUGGAUGGACAGACAGAGGGACAAAUUAUUAAAGAGGGACUUCAGCAGUUUAAUAUUGCACCUGACUAAAUUUUCAAGUCACAGUUUUUUAUACAUUUAAUUUAUCUCCACCUCUACACCUCUAUCUCUACCCCUCUACCUCUUCCCCUCUACCUCCAUCCCUCUAUCUCUACCUCUCUACCUCUUCUGUCCCUCUCAACCCGCCCGGCCAGCAGGCAGAUGGGUCCCCCCACAUUAGAGCCAGGUUCUGCUCGAGGUUUUUUCCCUGUUAAAAGGGUGUUUUCCUUGCCACUGUCGCCUUUUGGCUUACUCUGGGGGUCAGGCAUAUGGGUUCUGUAAAGCGUCUCGAGACAAUGUGACUGUAAUUGGCGCUAUAUAAAUAAAAUUGAAUUGAAAUUGAAUUGAAAGCAACAAAAAGUGCAAAAUAACCAAACAAGUUUGAAUGUCAGGCUCAAGAACAACUACUGCUGUUUAUCGUGUAAUGUGACUGCGGUAUUUUGCAUAUUAGAGAUUACAAUCUGACAAAAACACUAUAAAAUACAACUUUCCCUGACUAUAAUACAUAUUAAGGCUGCGACCACUGUUCCCUCUAAGCUGCGCGCGUGCGCAGUUGCGCACUGCUGACACGGUCUCCGCGCACAGAAAAUCUGCGCUGUGCACAAAAAAAAUAAAAUCCAACCUAAAUUGUAAAUAAAAUAAACACGUAACAAUUCAUUCUGUGCUAUUUUUCAGUGUGAGUCAGUGAGUGACCGGUGACUGGCUGCUGCAGCCAAUGAUGCGAUUCACAUACGUAUUUACCAUAGACUGUAUAUAAUGGUAUUUACGCAGCUAAUCAACGUCAUUGACAGGCGUCCUUAUGUGCAGCCAUCGUUGUUGUCAUAGAUAUGAAUGAGUAGAUAAGACACGCCCCUUUGAGCUGCGGCUACAGCGAGGCUAAGCUAGUGGGGGGAAAGUUUCAGUGCAUUCCGUUGAUGUAGACGGUGUGAAAACGGAAACAAGUAUGCCGGCUCACUGUGCUGCAUACAAUUACACACUGCGUCGUACGAUUGAGACAAGGAAACUUGGAAUGACUUUUCAUAGGUUUCCCAGAGACUAUGGGUUGAGGAGGAAUUGGAAGUUUGUCAGCUUAGACCUGGUGUCAUUCCAUCAGUGUUAAACUUCCCGGCUCAUCUUGGAAGAGUACGUGCCAGAAAGACCACGACCAAGCAGCCUUGAGAUCUUAGGCAGCGUCUCCCUGAGGUCCUUCUCUAUCUCCCCACACAUCCACCAACCACUGGAACACAUCUCCAAAGUUCUGCCGGGCCAGCUCAGCUUCCCCUCAGAAGAAGUGCCACCAGAUGAAGGAGCCUUUUGAGAGGCAGCUGGCAUCGUGAUUGGACUGUACUUUGGUCUGUUCCAAUCCAGCUUCAGCUCCAGAGACGGAAGGCGGGACGACUCAACGGAGGCCGGGUGGACGAAGGCAUGCAGCUGAGUACGAUCCAGAAAACAACAGAGGAGGAGUGCAGGGCCAGAACAACCAGAGUAGCAUCGUAUGUCUCUUAGAAAACAUCAUAGUAGAGCCUUUGGCAUGAAAAAAUGCCAUCAUAUACAUCAUAUAUUAUACAAAUAACAAGUCAAAGGAAAGAGACAUACAUUGUAGAAUUGUAGUAAUUGUGGGCUGACUGAUUUACUGAUUAUCAGUAUUAUAUUUUUUACUGAUUUACGAUAAUAAAUACAUUUAAAAAUGGUG